rnacentral:rRNA from 1 species
AACGUAGGAGACAAACGUUAUCCGGAUUUACUGGGCGUAAAGGGCGUGUAGGUGGUUGCGUAAGUCUGGCGUGAAAUAUCUCGGCUUAACCGAGGCAGGUCGUCGGAUACUGCGUAACUGGAGGACGGUAGAGGCGUGUGGAAUUCCGGGUGUAGUGGUGAAAUGCGUAGAGAUCCGGAGGAACACCAGUGGCGAAGGCGACGCGCUGGGCCGUACCUGACACUGAUGCGCGACAGCAUGGGGAGCAAACAGG